UUCAGCGAGGAGGAAAGGUUAGUAUUUAAUAAAUACUAGCUGUGACGUUACUCGCAGAAGAAGCACCGGCUAACUUCGUGCCAGCAGCCGCGGUAAUACGAGGGGUGCAAGCGUUAAUCGGAAUUACUGGGCGUAAAGCGUGCGUAGGUGGUUUGUUAAGCAAGAUGUGAAAGCCCCGGGCUCAACCUGGGAACUGCAUUUUGAACUGGCAAGCUAGAGUAUUGUAGAGGGUAGUGGAAUUUCCAGUGUAGCGGUGAAAUGCGUAGAGAUUGGAAGGAACAUCAGUGGCGAAGGCGGCUACCUGGACAAAUACUGACACUGAGGCACGAAAGCGUGGGGAGCAAACAGGAUUAGAUACCCUGGUAGUCCACGCCGUAAACGAUGUCAACUAGCCGUCUAUAGACUUGAUCUGUGGGUGGCGUAGCUAACGCGCUAAGUUGACCGCCUGGGGAGUACGGCCGCAAGGUUA
rnacentral:rRNA from 1 species